AUGGCAGAUUUCUUUGUAGCAGAUUCGUGGGUUCCACUUGAGUAUCAUGCUAUCGACUGCUCUAUUUCAAGCCGAUAUCGACUAAACAUGGUUGCAGAAGAAAGUCGUCAUUUACAAUUUGCCAUGAGCUUAUAGCAUCUCUUCAGGAUGUUAACAAGUGGUUGCAAGAAUAUAACAUAGAGUUUGUAGCAAUACAGCAGCAAUCUUCAAUCAAAUGUAGCGCUGGCUGCUGAGAACAUUUCCAAGUUGUAGAAGGAAAAGAACAUAAUAUGGAAAUUUAAGCAA